rnacentral:rRNA from 1 species
GAUUUAUCGUUUGUUUGAGCUUUUCGCAUACGCAAUCCGGCGAACAAUACUCUCAAAGUUUGACCUCAAAUCAGGUAGGAAUACCCGCUGAACUUAAGCAUAUCAAUAAGCGGAGGAAAAGAAACCAACCGGGAUUGCCUUAGUAACGGCGAGUGAAGCGGCAAAAGCUCAAAUUUGAAAUCUGGUACCUUCGGUGCCCGAGUUGUAAUUUGUAGAAGGUAACUUUGGGGCUGGUCCUUGUCUAUGUUCCUUGGAACAGGACGUCAUAGAGGGUGAGAAUCCCGUGUGGCGAGGAUCCCAGUUCUUUGUAAAGUGCUUUCGAAGAGUCGAGUUGUUUGGGAAUGCAGCUCUAAGUGGGUGGUAAAUUCCAUCUAAAGCUAAAUAUUGGCGAGAGACCGAUAGCGAACAAGUACAGUGAUGGAAAGAUGAAAAGAACUUUGAAAAGAGAGUGAAAAAGUACGUGAAAUUGUUGAAAGGGAAGGGCAUUUGAUCAGACAUGGUGUUUUGCGCCCUCUGCUCCUUGUGGGUGGGGGAAUCUCGCAGCUCACUGGGCCAGCAUCAGUUUUGGCGGCAGGAUAAAUCUGCAGGAAUGUAGCUUGCCUCGGUAAGUGUUAUAUCCUGUAGAAAUACUGCCAGCUGGGACUGAGGACUGCGACUUA